GCUGUAUUCAAACACAAUACAAUAUGGACCUGGUUCCUGUAUUUCCAAAACACAAAAGUCAAAGUAAACGUCGAAGAAAAGCUGGCUGAUUCAUUUGGAACUGUGGGCAUCAGGAGCAUAAAUCCUACAGAAUGAAUUGGUUUCUUUCAGCAGUCUUUAAUCAGGAACCAAGAACUUGGCAAGAGCACAGCCAGAUGACUCAUCUUGCCCUGAUAGCUGGGGCCUCAUCCGGAAUAACACACAUGUCAAGGACUGGAGCAGCUGAGGGCUGGGUGAGCACCUUUUCUCUCUCCAGUGCAGUCUUGCAGCCUGCUGUGUCAUGAACUAAGAACGCCCAUGAGCUAAGCACAGUUUUAAAAUGUAUUAACGUUUUAAAAAGAAUCUGAAGAAGAAUAAAGCCCCAUGAGGUCUGAAAGUUAUAUGAGAUUCAAAUCUGUAGCCAUAAAUAAAGCUUCAUUCACACGGCAACACACACUUGUUUACAUGUGGUCUACUCUGUGCAACUCUGUAUCCUGAAAAAUUUGCUGGUGAAUGACCUCCACGUGUGGCUAACAUGGGCUCAUGGCUUCAAGGGUGAGCGUUCAGGAGACAGGACGUGGAAGCUGCGAUUUUCCCAAAGUAUCUCCUCUUGUUCAAAGCUUGCCAAGGAUAGUGUGACCUCCUUCAUCUCUCUCACUUGACCUACAGCCUUUUCCCAAAAGAGGAGAUUUUUGGAAGGUAGAGG
ensembl:lncRNA